rnacentral:rRNA from 1 species
UACGUAGGGCGCAAGCGUUGUCCGGAAUCAUUGGGCGUAAAGAGCUCGUAGGCGGUGUGUCGCGUCGGCCGUGAAAACCUGCAGCUUAACUGUGGGCUUGCGGUCGAUACGGGCAUCACUGGAGUUCGGCAGGGGAGACUGGAAUUCCUGGUGUAGCGGUGAAAUGCGCAGAUAUCAGGAGGAACACCGGUGGCGAAGGCGGGUCUCUGGGCCGAUACUGACGCUGAGGAGCGAAAGCGUGGGGAGCGAACAGG